rnacentral:rRNA from 1 species
UGGGGAAUUUUUGGACAAUGGGCGAAAGCCUGAUCCAGCAAUGCCGCGUGUGUGAAGAAGGCCUUCGGGUUGUAAAGCACUUUUGUCCGGAAAGAAAUCCUUGGCUCUAAUACAGUCGGGGGAUGACGGUACCGGAAGAAUAAGCACCGGCUAACUACGUGCCAGCAGCCGCGGUAAUACGUAGGGUGCAAGCGUUAAUCGGAAUUACUGGGCGUAAAGCGUGCGCAGGCGGUUUGCUAAGACCGAUGUGAAAUCCCCGGGCUCAACCUGGGAACUGCAUUGGUGACUGGCAGGCUAGAGUAUGGCAGAGGGGGGUAGAAUUCCACGUGUAGCAGUGAAAUGCGUAGAGAUGUGGAGGAAUACCGAUGGCGAAGGCAGCCCCCUGGGCCAAUACUGACGCUCAUGCACGAAAGCGUGGGGAGCAAACAGGAUUAGAUACCCUGGUAGUCCACGCCCUAAACGAUGUCAACUAGUUGUUGGGGAUUCAUUUCCUUAGUAACGUAGCUAACGCGUGAAGUUGACCGCCUGGGGAGUACGGUCGCAAGAUU